rnacentral:miRNA from 1 species
AACUCCCAAGAAUCCUGCAG